UGGGGAAUAUUGGGCAAUGGACGCAAGUCUGACCCAGCAACGCCGCGUGAAGGAAGAAGGCUUUCGGGUUGUAAACUUCUUUGACAGGGGAAGAGCAGAAGACGGUACCCUGAAAACAAGCCACGGCUAACUACGUGCCAGCAGCCGCGGUAAUACGUAGGUGGCAAGCGUUGUCCGGAUUUACUGGGUGUAAAGGGCGUGCAGCCGGGCUGACAAGUCAGAUGUGAAAUCCCGAGGCUUAACCUCGGAACUGCAUUUGAAACUGUUGGUCUUGAGUAUCGGAGAGGUCAUCGGAAUUCCUUGUGUAGCGGUGAAAUGCGUAGAUAUAAGGAAGAACACCAGUGGCGAAGGCGGAUGACUGGACGACAACUGACGGUGAGGCGCGAAAGCGUGGGGAGCGAACAGG
rnacentral:rRNA from 1 species